rnacentral:rRNA from 1 species
GACGAAGGGGGCUAGCGUUGUUCGGAAUUACUGGGCGUAAAGCGCGUGUAGGCGGUUGUUCAAGUCAGGUGUGAAAGCCUUGAGCUCCACUCAAGAAAUGCACUUGAUACUGGAUGACUAGAGGACCGGAGAGGAUAGUGGAAUUCCCAGUGUAGUGGUGAAAUACGUAGAGAUUGGGAAGAACACCAGUGGCGAAGGCGGCUAUCUGGACGGUUUCUGACGCUAAGACGCGAAAGCGUGGGGAGCAAACAGG